AUCUCGUGGUGCGGGCAUGCAAGGAUGUACUCCUGAAGUCCCUCCUAGGCUUCAGGAAUUGACUCAUUUGAUGCCUGCUAAAAGUUCGAAAUCCUUCCAUGAAGAG